rnacentral:misc_RNA from 1 species
CCCGCCUUUUCCGGUGGCACAAAAUGAGCAGCGCAAUGGACAACCAACCUGAGAUGAGAUGCAUGCAGUAAGACGCAUUGAACCUUUGUCAUCUUCAACUGGUAUGCCAACAGUUUCAAUCAAUCUGUUGUCCUCCAAUUUAAUCAGUAACUUAACAGUGCCAUCAACUGCAAUAACAGUGCGAUAAAUUGGCGAGCGCCCAACUUUCCAUCCUGCUUCUUGAAGAUCAUUUCGGAAUGCCUGAGGCAAUUGACUAAAAUCUUG